rnacentral:lncRNA from 1 species
GUCUCUUAGGAAAAAAUGCUGCAAAGGAUAUAAAUUUGUCCUUGGACAGUGUAUUCCAGAAGAUUAUGACAUUUGUGCCCAAGCUCCCUGUGAACAGCAAUGCACGGAUAACUUCGGCCGUGUGCUGUGCACGUGCUAUCCAGGAUACCGAUAUGACCGAGAGAGGCACCAAAAGCGGGAGAAGCCAUACUGCCUGGAUAUCGAUGAGUGUGCCACCGGCAACACCACUCUGUGUGCACAUACCUGCGUCAACACCAUGGGCAGCUACCACUGUGAGUGUCGGGAGGGCUACAUCCUUGAGGACGAUGGGAGGACCUGCACGAGGGGAGACAAAUACCCCAAUGACACUGGGCAUGAGGAGAAGUCCGAGAAUGAGGUGAAAGCUGGGACCUGCUGUGCCACAUGCAAGG